rnacentral:rRNA from 1 species
CCUACGGGAGGCAGCAGUGAGGAAUAUUGGUCAAUGGGCUCAAGCCUGAACCAGCCAAGUCGCGUGAAGGAAGACUGCCCUAUGGGUUGUAAACCUCUUUUGUCAAGGAGCAAUUUGCGCUACGUGUACCUUUAUCUAGAUUACCUGUAGAUAAAGCAUCGCUUAACUCCGUGCCAGCGGCCGCGGUAAUACGGAGGAUCGGAGCGUUAUCGGGAUUUAUUGGGUUGAAAUGGAGCGUAGUUGGAUUGUUAAGUCAGUUGUGAAAGUUUGCGGCUCAACCGUAAAAUUGCAGUUGAAACUGGCAGUCUUGAGUACAGUAGAGGUGGGCGGAAUUCGGGGUGUAGCGGUGAAAUGCUUAGAUAUCACGAAGAACUCCGAUUGCGAAGGCAGUUCACUGGACUGCAACUGACACUGAGGCUCGAAAGUGUGGGUAUCAAACAGGAUUAGAUACCCGAGUAGUC